rnacentral:rRNA from 1 species
UACGGGGGGGGCAAGCGUUGUUCGGAAUUACUGGGCGUAAAGCGCGCGUAGGCGGCUUUUCAAGUCAGACGUGAAAGCCCCAGGCUUAACCUGGGAAUUGCGUUUGAUACUGUUAAGCUAGAGUGUGGAAGGGGCUACUGGAAUUCCGUGUGUAGCGGUGAAAUGCGUAGAUAUCGAGAGGAACACCUGCGGCGAAGGCGGGUUGCUGGGCUGACACUGACGCUGAAGCGCGAAAGCUAGGGGAGCAAACGGG